GAUCCUUCAAAGAACACCACCACUCCUUCUUCUUCAAAUUAUUAAUUGAGUGGCCCGCCGGUUUCUUUUUGUCCAAUUAUCCGACCCAACCGCCGGCCGUCGGCUUGACCAGUCGGUCACGUGUAGAACCAGGUCACGUGUAGAACCAAACCAACAGUGUGAAUCGGACCACCAUCUCCUCCACAGGGCCACCACCUCCUCUCCUCUCCCUCCAUAGCGCCACCUUCCUCUUCUCCUCUGCAGCGCUGCCAAUUAACUCUGCUUCUCUAAUGUAACGUUAUCAACCAAUUGGUACAUUUUCUGAAAAAAAUCCUUUAAACCGGUACUCAUUAAUGCUCAAUUUGAUGUUUUAUUAUCUAGGUUUUGAUUGUUUAUGAGAAAGGGUCUGAAUUUUUUGCUAUGUGGGUUUGUUUUGUUUCUUAUUGAUUUACACGAAGUUUUUUUUUUCAUUUUUAUGAAAUUUUGUUUUUGUUGUGAAACCAGAUUGUUUUGAAGUCAAAUUGAGUUCAGUUGUUAUGAUAGCAAAAAAUAGAGUGUAAAAUUGUUUUCUGUGUUGAUUGGUUAAGUGUAAAGUUGAGAUAUGAAGAAGAAAGGGUCACACGAAGUAGGUAGAGGGCGACUGGAAACAUUUUUCUUUUUUAUUUCCGGCGCCCCUUUUGUACCGGUGAUGUCGUUUUUCCGAUGGUGGAGAUGAUGGCGGUAGUGGAUGUUAAUGGUGGAGACCAGUUGGUUUAUGGCCUUGUGUUCUCUGGUUCAUCGUCAUUGGCCAUUAAAGUUAUUUGAAGCUGUGUAGAUGGGUGUGUUCUUUAAUAAAUAUUGACUGUGAAUUAAAGAAAAAAGGGUAGGGGUGGGGGUGGGGUGGGUAGUUGGGCAGUCAAAAUGAUCAAAAUGC
rnacentral:lncRNA from 1 species